rnacentral:piRNA from 1 species
ACAGCACAGGAUCUUUCUCAUAUGUUAUA